AACGCCGUUAUUUGUGAUCGUUUUGAUAGUAUUUUCUGUCGACGUUAUGGAACUGAAGUGUUGGUCGGUAUUUGAAAUUAGCUUGGGGACGAAAGAUGUCAUGCUAGCUCUUGAUGAUGGUGAAGAUGAGAUGACUGUGUAUUUUCUGUUCACCGUAACUUCCAUAACAACGGCACGAAAUGGGUAUAUAGUUUCAGGGAGAUACCAAUUUUCACAGGUCAUUUUGAAUUUCAUAAAAUCGUUUGAUUCAUUCCAUGACAUGAUAGAUGCAGUUGAUGCCAUUGCAGCCGUUAUUAAACUUUUGAAUGAA
rnacentral:lncRNA from 1 species